rnacentral:rRNA from 1 species
AUAGGGGAGCCGGAGGGAAACCGAGUCUUAAUUGGGCGUUAAGUUGCAGGGUAUAGACCCGAAACCCGGUGAUCUAGCCAUGGGCAGGUUGAAGGUUGGGUAACACUAACUGGAGGACCGAACCGACUAAUGUUGAAAAAUUAGCGGAUGACCUGUGGCUGGGGGUGAAAGGCCAAUCAAACCGGGAGAUAGCUGGUUCUCCCCGAAAGCUAUUUAGGUAGCGCCUCGUGAAUUCAUCUCCGGGGGUAGAGCACUGUUUCGGCUAGGGGGCCAUCCCGGCUUACCAACCCGAUGCAAACUGCGAAUACCGGAGAAUGUUAUCACGGGAGACACACGGCGGGUGCUAACGUCCGUCGUGAAGAGGGAAACAACCCAGACCGCCAGCUAAGGUCCCAAAGUCAUGGUUAAGUGGGAAACGAUGUGGGAAGGCCCAGACAGCCAGGAUGUUGGCUUAGAAGCAGCCAUCAUUUAAAGAAAGCGUAAUAGCUCACUGGUCGAGUCGGCCUGCGCGGAAGAUGUAACGGGGCUAAACCAUGCACCGAAGCUGCGGCAGCGACGCUUAUGCGUUGUUGGGUAGGGGAGCGUUCUGUAAGCCUG